AGAGUUUGAUCAUGGCUCAGGACGAACGUUGGCGGUGCGCUUAAUGCAUGCAAGUCGAGGGAGAAGCAGUUGUUCCGUAAGGUUCGACUGUGGAAACCGGCGAACGGGUGCGUAACACGUGAGAAAUCUGCCCCCCAGACCGGGAUAGCCCAGGGAAACCUGGAUUAAUACCGGAUACUCUCUUUGGAUCGCAUGAUCCUUUGAGGAAAUGGUCCGCUGCUGGGGGAUGGUCUCGCGGCCUAUCAGGUAGUUGGUGAGGUAAUGGCUCACCAAGCCUAAGACGGGUAGCUGGUCUGAGAGGACGAUCAGCCACACUGGAACUGAGACACGGUCCAGACUCCUACGGGAGGCAGCAGCAGGGAAUAUUGCACAAUGGGCGAAAGCCUGAUGCAGCGACACCGCGUGCGGGAUGACGGCCUUAGGGUUGUAAACCGCUUUCGGGAGGGAAGAAAAUGACGGUACCUCCUAAAGAAGCUCCGGCCAACUACGUGCCAGCAGCCGCGGUAAUACGUAGGGAGCAAACGUUGUCCGGAUUUAUUGGGCGUAAAGGGCUCGUAGGCGGUUCAACAAGUCGGUCGUGAAAGCCCGGGGCUCAACCCCGGGAUGCCGGUCGAAACUGUUGUGACUAGAGUUCGGUAGAGGUGGGUGGAAUUCUCGGUGUAGCGGUGGAAUGCGCAGAUAUCGAGAGGAACACCAUUAGCGAAGGCGGCUCACUGGGCCGAUACUGACGCUGAGGAGCGAAAGCGUGGGGAGCAAACAGGAUUAGAUACCCUGGUAGUCCACGCCGUAAACGAUGAACACUAGGUGUAGCGGACUGAUUCAUGUCUGCUGCGCCGUA
rnacentral:rRNA from 1 species